rnacentral:rRNA from 1 species
GACAGAGGUGCCGAGCGUUAGGCGGAAUCACUGGGCUUAAAGCGUGUGUAGGCGGAUCGUUAAGUACCUUGUGAAAUCCCACGGCUCAACCGUGGAACGGCUGGGUAUACUGGCGAUCUUGGGCCACUCAGGGGCGAGCGGAACAAGUGGUGGAGCGGUGAAAUGCGUAGAUAUCACUUGGAACGCCGACGGUAAAAACAGCUCGCUGGGAGUGUGCCGACGCUGAGACACGAAAGCCAGGGGAGCGAACGGG